UACCUGGUUGAUCCUGCCAGUAGUCAUAUGCUUGUAUCAAAGAUUAAACCAUGCAUGUGUAAGUAUGAACAAAUUCAGACUGUGAAACUGCGAAUGGCUCAUUAAAUCAGUUAUACUUUGUUUGAUGGUAUCUACUACUCGGAUAACCGUACUAAUUCUACAGCUAAUACGUGCAACAAACCCAGAUUUCUGGAAGGGAUGCAUUUAUUAGAUAAAAGGUCAAUGCGGGCUCUGCCAGUUGCAACGAUGAUUCAUGAUAACUCGAUGCAUCAUUCAAAUUUCUGCCCUAUGAACUUUUGAUGGUAGGACAGUGGCCUACCAUGGUGGUGACGGGUGACGGAGAAUUAGGGUUCGAUUCCGGAGAGAGAGCCUGCGAAACGGCUACCACAUCCAAGGAAAGCAGCUGGCGGCAAAUUACCGAAUCCUGACAUGGGGAGGUAGUGACAAUAAAUAACAAUACUAGGCUCCAUGAGUCCGAUAAUUGGAAUGAGUACAAUCUAAAUCCCUUAACGAGGAUCCAUUUGAGGGCAAGUCUGGUGCCAGCAAUUGCGGUAAUUCCAGCUCCCAUAGCAUAUAUUUAAGUUGUUGCAAUUAAAAAUCUCGUAGUUGGACUUUGGGAUGGGCCGGCCGGUCCGCCCUAGAUGUGCACCGGUUGUCUCGUCCCUUCUGUCGGGUGCGCUCAUGGCGUUUAAUGGCCGGGUCGUGCCUCCGACGCUGUUACUUUGAAGAAUUAGAGUGCUCAAAGAAAGCCUACGCUCUGUAUACAUUAGCAUUGGAUAACAUUAUAGGAUUUCGGUCAUAUUACGUUGGCCUUCAGGAUCGGAGUAAUGAUUAACAAGGACAGUCGGGGGCAUUCGUAUUUCAUAGUCAGAGGUGAAAUUCUUGGAUUUAUGAAAGAUGAACAACUGCGAAAGCAUUUGCCAAGAAUAUUUUCAUUAACCAAGAACGAAAUUUGGGGGCUCGAAGAUGAUUAGAUAUCGUCCUAGUCUUAACCAUAAACGAUGCUGACCAGGGAUCGACGGAUGUUGCUUUUAGGACUCUGCCGCCACCUUAUGAGAAAUCAAAGUUUUUGGGUUCUGGGGGGAGUAUGGACGCAAGGCUGAAACAUAAAGGAAUUUACGGAAGGGCACCACCAUGAGUGGAGCCUGCGACUUUAUUUGACUCAACACGGGGAAACUUACAAGGUCCAAACAUAGUAAGGAUUGACAGACUGAGAGCUCUUUCUUGAUUCUACUGGUGGUGGUGCAUGGCCGUUCUUAGUUGGUGAAGGAUUUGUCUGGUUAAUAGCUAUGCGGAGGUAUCCCUUCUCGGCCAGCUUCUUAGAGGGACUACGACCUUUUAGGCCGCGAAUGUUUGAGGCAAUAACAGAUCUGUGAUGCCCUUAGAUGUUAUGGGCCGCACGCGCGCUACACUGAUUAUUCAACGAGCUUAUAGCCUUGGCCAACAGGCCAGGGUAAUCUUUGAAAUUUCAUCGUGAUAGGGAUAUAUCAUUGCAUUUAUUGGUUUUCAACGAGAAAUUCCUAGUAAGUGCGAGUCAUCAGCUCUCGUUGACUACGUCCCUACCCUUUGUACACACCGCCUGUCGCUCUUACCGAUUGAAUGAUUUAGUGAAAUGUUCGUAUCGCGGCGACAUGGGCGGUUCGCUGCCCGCGAAGACGUAAGAAGUCCAUUGAACCUUAUUAUUUAGAGGAAGGAGAAGUCAUAACAAGGUUUCCAUAGGUGAACCUGCGGAAGGAUCAUUG
rfam:Solanum lycopersicum unplaced genomic scaffold SL2.40sc06977, whole genome shotgun sequence.